CCGGUGCCGGUGCCGGAGCCGGAGCCGGAGCCGGUACCUGAUUCGGUGCCGGUGCCG
rfam:Streptomyces sp. NRRL F-6491 P443contig60.1, whole genome shotgun sequence.